AGAAUCAACGCUGGCGGCGUGCCUAACACAUGCAAGUCGCACGAGAAAGGGGAGCAAUCCCUGAGUACAGUGGCGCACGGGUGAGUAACACGUGAAUCAUCUACCUCCGAGUGGGGAAUAACUGAGAGAAAUCUUAGCUAAUACCGCAUAACACUUACGAGUCAAAGCAGCAAUGCGCUUGGAGAGGAGUUCGCGGCAGAUUAGUUAGUUGGCGGGGUAAUGGCCCACCAAGACGAUGAUCUGUAUCCGGCCUGAGAGGGCGCACGGACACACUGGAACUGAAACACGGUCCAGACUCCUACGGGAGGCAGCAGUGGGGAAUUUUGCGCAAUGGGGAAACCCUGACGCAGCAACGCCGCGUGGAGGAUGAAGCCCCUUGGGUGUAAACUCCUUUCGAUCGGGAAGAUAAUGACGGUACCGAUAUAAGAAGCCCGGCUAACUUCGUGCCAGCAGCCGC
rnacentral:rRNA from 1 species